UACGGGGGGGGCAAGCGUUGUUCGGAUUUACUGGGCGUAAAGAGCGCGCAGGCGGCUGGUCAAGUCCGAUGUGAAAGCUCCCGGCUUAACUGGGAAAUUGCAUCGGAAACUGAUCGGCUGGAAGGUGGGAGAGGGUAGCGGAAUUCCCGGUGUAGCAGUGAAAUGCGUAGAUAUCGUGAGGAACACCAGAGGCGAAGGCGGCUACCUGGACAAUUGCUGACGCUCAGGCACGAAAGCGUGGGGAGCAAAAGGG
rnacentral:rRNA from 1 species